rnacentral:lncRNA from 1 species
GUUGUAGCAUAAAUAAUGAAAACUAGCAGUCAUAAUCUACUGUAAGUUUUUACUGAAAUGCCUAUAAAAGAGAGGGAGAGAUGAUGGGAAAAAAAAUUCAGCUUUCCCCAUCUUUCUGAAGGUGGCAAUUUCAAAAGGGAUCUCUAACCACUUUUUCUACCCCAAUUCAAGGUCAUGGAGGAGACCUGCAUUAUAAGGAAUGGGAUUACCAUAUGACAAUGCAUAAGUAGGCUCAAGUUGUAUAUUGCUUGUUACUGGUACUUUUCUUUUUUCUCUUUUGCUAAACAAAUAGUUGUGUUUCAUUUAGUUAUAUGUCUAUUUAAAGAUACUCAGCUGAAUGUAGUAAUUCUAAGCACUGCAGGUUCAAUGGAAGAGUAUAAACAUGGAGCAAAAAGUAAUCCAACACUUUUAUUUACUUUUGCAUCAGAUAACCACAGUAAUAAGAAGUAUUUAGAAGUCCCAGCUUGAUAUGCAAUCCUCUGAAUGUGUUGAGUGUGAGGUAAUACAGACGUAAUAUGCUGGAAAACUUCUUAAAAAAAAACCCCAAUGUAUAAUGGCUGGUGUAAUAUCACAGUAAAGUUAAUGUGAUUUUCAUGACUUAUCCUCUCAUUACCUGGAGUACACAGAUCAUUGCAAUCAUAAUAUUGCUAUGAAGAAAUUUGAUCAUUUGACAAAAUGCUUCAUUUGGUUAGCAAAAGGGGGAAAAAAAUCCCCUGACCCUCAGCCAGCUACAUAUUAUUACAAUGGCCUACCAAGUCAAGAUGUGCAAGAGGAGAAAUUAUUUGAUUAGCUGCUGUACUGAGUACCUUCAUUUUAAUAUAAAUAGAACAUUUCAUCAUGCAAUGGCAAAGAAUCAUGGAAAGUACAACUCCCGGUAUUACUGGACAUGAUGCAUAAGAUGUAUUUCAAAAGAGGUCCAAAAAAGCAAAAAGAACAAGACAAAUUUAAUAAAAGGGUAUCAAUAUUAUUUACCUAAAUAUAAUGCAAACCAUAGUUUUGUAACAGCUAAGAGUGAAAAUGGAAGAUAAGGCUAUAACAAUUUUGUGUCUGUGGCUAUUGCCAGAAUAAAAGGAAGCAACUAUGUAAAGAUACUAUAGCUCCUAUUCAUGUUUUUAAAAAUAAGAUUACCUUCAUUGCCUAUCUGCAAUGAGGUGUCCCAUUGAGAUCCCUAGUAAUUGUUUAAUACGUUUGUUUAUCUUUGAAUUUAGGAAACUUCAAAAUAUUUUCUGAGAGGUGUUUUGGGACAUAAAAAGAGUAAUACUGGGGUUGCCUUGUCCAUAUUGACCUUGGACAUGGGAGUAGGAAAUAUAAUAAAUUAAGGCAACCAGAGCAGCUUUUGUGCUUUCUAGGCUCCUUUAACUUCCGACAGUCUCCUGCAACAGUGUUCUUUCGAUUAUUAUUCCCUCUCUGCCUCCUAGUGGCCUGGCACUGUCCCAUUUAAUGCAUCUAGGAGUCAACAGAGGGAUGCUGCCCAUCGCCAUCUGGAAGAGUGACCUGCUACUGCCUCUGCCCUCCCCACGGUUUCUGCCUGUCUCAGUGUUCUGGAAGAAGAUUUUUUAAUAUUGAUCGAAAUAUUUAUUAGACUCCCCCAACACAAACUUACUGCUUUAUUUUUGUUUGUAGGACCCCUUCCCCCGCAACACACACACAAAACACAAAAACCUCUGAGUUUUAUACAGAGUGAAGGCCUAGCAGAAACUAGAAGAAAACACUUGGAAAGACAAGACUAUCAUACUUCAAAACUUUCCUUUACAAAAAUCAUGACUCAGUACCUCAAAAGAUAACCCAGGCAACUGUCUUCUACCUUCGAGGCACCCUGAUAUCUACCUAAAGCCUUCUUUCUUUACUCCAAAUUUGGGUGCUCUAAAUUUUUCUGAUUAGAUAAUAUAAAAACAUAAGUCCCAAUGUGUUCCUUUCCAUAUCACCCAAUUAGAGUGCUG